CACAGAGGCACAGAAACAGGAUGCUAAUUUCGGUAGUCCAAAUCUCAUGAUUACGAUCACACUUGCCAAAGCGAAUAUCCCACUAAGACCUAAAAUCUAUUUUUACCGAACAGCUCACAGAGGUCCCGGUAGCUUAUUUGUUGGGAGUAUGUAAGAAUAUAAGAAUUUUUCAUUUCAUAUUUAAGUAGAAUACUCCCAGGUUAAAAUUAUCUUUAUGUCGCGAAGUACACGCCGGCGGCUCUGCUUCAUGACGCACGCAACCCAACCACCUGGCCACCGCCAUCCUGUUGCAUCAAUGCUGUAGUAGUGGACGAUGGCAUAAUCAUCAUAAAUGGGCAGCGAGCAACGGUCAGCGUUGACAAUGGACCCCUAAGGACGACAAGAGAGGCCCACCUCAUCACGUUCGAAGACAGAACCGUGAUCAACAGCACCCUGUUCUUAAACCUCAACAAAGCAUUGAGGAAAGUUCCAGGAAUCGUAGCUUCGCCUUUGCUGUCAAUAACGGGGCACGGUGAAAUCCUAAGCCUACCACGACUACAAUCGAUGAACGAGCACAAUCUAAGGGCCAUCCAAGAACUUAGAAGCGACAUGACAUCCGGUGGGUCACCCAAGACCUGGUUCAUUGCGGUCAGCCUCAAGCUCUGUGGCCUUAUCCUGUUGCAUCAAUGCUGGAGUCGAAGGAACUCCUCAAUCAAGUUGCAAAAGGUCAUCAGAGAGAUAGGUAUCGCCGAGGACGGAGAUGAUUUAAGGGGGGAGUAGUUAACACAUAAGCAAUAACAUGGAACACCCUAACUUAGCGCACAAGAAAUGUGAAAUAUCAUGUGCCGCCCUAACGUAUCCAGUCCGAUACGGAGGGCGCCGAUGCAGUAGAUGCCGUUGCAGCGGGCGGCUCUGUGAUCUGAUUGGGCGCCAGCGAUCGCAUGAUCUUGUUUAUGCGUAGGCGGCUCUUAUCUCUUGUGAGCGCGGACGGCUCGCCGGCUAGGUUUCGGUGUAGGUUUAGAAGUAAGCUUUAGUUUAGAAUUGGACGAAUAAAUGAACGGAGCGUUCAUAUCAACUCCGACACGAGUCGUAAAACGUGUAUUGAUAUAAUCAUAUUGUUGAGCCUUAAGGGCCAACGAAAUAGAGGGCAAUUACCCUCUCAACAUAAUCUUCGGUAGAAGACUCAGUUGCCAACCGCAACCACCGUCCCCCGCUACAAGAGCGGGCCACGGGAACCCGAUCGCUGCCGCCGGAGCCAACGCAACGCAUACCGCAGCUCGGACCAAAUACGACAUUAAGUUAAUUUAUACAUAUCCAAAAAAA
rnacentral:lncRNA from 1 species